rnacentral:rRNA from 1 species
CCCUUAGAUGUUCUGGGCCGCACGCGUGCUACACUGAGUGGAUCAGCGGGUCAGGUUGCGCGAAAGUGUUUCCUAAUCUUGAAAUCCGCUCGUGAUGGGGAUUGACGGUUGCAAUUUUCCGUCAUGAACGAGGAAUACCUUGUAAGCGCGGGUCAUCAUCCCGCGCUGAAUACGUCCCUGCCCUUUGUACACACCGCCCGUCGCUCCUACCGAUUGAGUGGUCCGGUGAGGCUUUGGGAUCUGAGCAAAGAGAGCGUUUCGCUCGUUUUGCCCGGAAAACUCAGUCGAACCUUAUCAUUUAGAGGAGGGAGAAGUCGUAACA